GGGAAACUGCCCGAUGGAGGGGGAUAACUACUGGAAACGGUAGCUAAUACCGCAUAACGUCGCAAGACCAAAGUGGGGGACCUUCGGGCCUCACACCAUCGGAUGUGCCCAGAUGGGAUUAGCUAGUAGGUGGGGUAAUGGCUCACCUAGGCGACGAUCCCUAGCUGGUCUGAGAGGAUGACCAGCCACACUGGAACUGAGACACGGUCCAGACUCCUACGGGAGGCAGCAGUGGGGAAUAUUGCACAAUGGGCGCAAGCCUGAUGCAGCCAUGCCGCGUGUAUGAAGAAGGCCUUCGGGUUGUAAAGUACUUUCAGCGGGGAGGAAGGCGGUGGAGUUAAUAGCUUCACCGAUUGACGUUACCCACAGAAGAAGCACCGGCUAACUCCGUGCCAGCAGCCGCGGUAAUACGGAGGGUGCAAGCGUUAAUCGGAAUUACUGGGCGUAAAGCGCACGCAGGCGGUCUGUCAAGUCGGAUGUGAAAUCCCCGGGCUUAACCUGGGAACUGCAUUCGAAACUGGCAGGCUAGAGUCUUGUAGAGGGGGGUAGAAUUCCAGGU
rnacentral:rRNA from 1 species